UACGUAGGGUGCGAGCGUUAAUCGGAAUUACUGGGCGUAAAGCGUGCGCAGGCGGUUUUGUAAGCCAGGUGUGAAAUCCCCGGGCUCAACCUGGGAAUGGCAUUUGGGACUGCAAGGCUGGAGUGCGGCAGAGGAGACUGGAAUUCCUGGUGUAGCAGUGAAAUGCGUAGAUAUCAGGAGGAAUACCGAUGCGAAGGCAGGUCUCUGGGCUGACACUGACGCUCAUGCACGAAAGCGUGGGGGAGCAAACAGG
rnacentral:rRNA from 1 species